CUCUAGCUAGUCUAGUGGCUAGGGUCCCUGGUUUUCAACCAGGCUGUCCAGGUUCAAUUCUUGAGCAGGAAA
rnacentral:tRNA from 1 species